rnacentral:rRNA from 1 species
GUGCCAGCAGCCGCGGUAAUACGUAGGGUCCGAGCGUUGUCCGGAAUUAUUGGGCGUAAAGGGCUCGUAGGCGGUUUGUCGCGUCGGGAGUGAAAACUUGGGGCUUAACCCCAUUCGUGCUUCCGAUACGGGCAGACUAGAGGCAGGCAGGGGAGAACGGAAUUCCUGGUGUAGCGGUGGAAUGCGCAGAUAUCAGGAGGAACACCGGUGGCGAAGGCGGUUCUCUGGGCCUGUUCUGACGCUGAGGAGCGAAAGCAUGGGGAGCGAACAGGAUUAGAUACCCUUGUAGUCC